rnacentral:lncRNA from 1 species
GAGGCUGUUUUGAAAUGGAGAGAUAAAGAGGCUCUGGGCUCGAGGCUAGAGAGUGACUGGGAUGGGUUUCAAGGUUUUGAAUGAGGUGACAAUAGGGUUUCAGUUUUUGGAGAAAUGAUGCAGGCGUGCACUUAUGCCUCUGGGCUCGAGGGCAUCCAAAGCUGAGAGAGAGAAUGGGUGCAGCUGCUAGGGUUUUUUUUCAAAUGACAAAUGCCGUUGCUCCAUCAGUUUAUCUUGUAGUUGUUUUCGUGUUGGUCAGUGCCUCGUCUAUGCUUCCGAGGGCACAGGUUCAAACUCAGCGCCAGGCAUAUUUUCUUUCUUUUUAAUGCGCCCUUGUCUCCAGCUCCAGGUCCCGAGUCGACUCCCAGGUGUGUCCCUUUCUUUCUCUUUUCUCUUAUUUUCUGUUUUCUUUGUUAUUUUAUAUUUUCUUUUAUUUUUUUUUUCUUUCUAUUUUUUCUUUUUCUUAGGUUAUUUUCUUUCUCUUUGAUAGUAGUUUUACGUUUUAUUUUAGGAUUUCACAUUUUUGUUUCUUUUCUUUUAUUUAUUUUCCACACCUUAAGGACAAAGUGUGAAAUAAGUUUGGGGUGGAAAAUAAAAUUUUAGAAUUUUAAUUUUUGUGUCAAGUUAAAAAUUUUGCUAUCUUUUUAAGUUAAUAUCCAUAAAUUAAUUUAAACGUUAGAACAAAUGGACAUGGUGAAGAUUAAUUUCAUAGUAGAGUCUUUUUUAUUUAUCAUUACUUAGACAUUAAUUUAUGACUUAUACUUUGACAAUUUGCACAGUCACAUCAACAUGGUUUGUGGGGAGUGAGAUUGGAACACUUGCUUUUCGACUAAGUUAAUUGUUAAUUUUUGUUCUAAAUAAAGUAAAAUUAGUUAUUAUCCUAUAAAAAAGUAAUAGUUGUUCCACCCGAGGUUUUGCUUAGUAACCGGGCUAGUCUUACCUCAUCAGCAAUGAUUCUCGCGUCAAACAAUAGAGUUUUGGCAUGGGGCAUGGUGGUUAGUUGGUUUUGUAACCUUUCCAACUCGAGUUAGUAGUCCUUAGGGGUGUUCUACACCUAGUAUACUAAAGCCCUUGUGGUUUGGGAGUCAUUGACCUAAAGUUCGCUACAUGGGUUGAAUUGAAAGCUUAAGUGAACCGACAUUGCACAACCACUACUAUUACUGAAAAAGGAAAGAGAAAAAAUAAAAUAGUUAUAUUUGAAUUUAGUAUGUGUGAAAUAAAUAGACGAGAGGUAAGGGUUUUAAUCGAGUCUCAUUAUUAAUGUUGGUUCACUUUACACCAAAGGAAGUUAAUGAAUUCUUUUCUAAUUGAUUCUAAAUGGCUUCAACUCUGUGGUGGGAUUAGUUUGAACUUUUAGAAAGAUGUUCUAAUUUUUAACAUUUUCUAUGGAUUGCAACUUGGAGAUGAAAUUUUGUGUCUUAGUUUUGUUUAAGUUUCUAGUAUGUUAGUUUUUUUUUUAACGUUUUCUAUGGAUUGCAACUUGGAGGUGAGAUUGGAACACUUGCUUUUCGACUAAGUUAAUUGUUAAUUUUUGUUCUAAAUAAAUAAAGUUAGUUAUUAUCCUAUUAAAAAAAGUAAUAAUUGUUCCCCCCAAGGCUUUGCUUAGUAACCAGACCAGUCCUGCUUAAUCAGCAGUGAUUCUCGCGUCAAACGGUAGAGUUUUGGCAUGGGACAUGGUUGUUAGUUGGUUUUGUAACCUUUUCAGCUCGAGUUAGUAGUCCUUAAGGGUGUUCUACCCCUAGUGCCCAAAGCCCUUGUUGUUUGGGAGUCAUUGACCUAAAGUUCACUACAUGGGUUGAAUCGAAAGCUUAAAUGAACCGACAUUGCACGACCACUACUAUUACUGAAAAAGGAAAGAGAAAAAUAAAAUAGUUAUAUUUGAAUUUAGUAUGUGUGAAAUAAAUGGUUUGGGGGUAUUUUGAUGAGUCGAUUUCAUAUUAUAUAUUUUACCUCAUUCUUAGUAUAUUUUGGUAGAAUUUUAAUACUUUGCUUUAUAUUUUCAACAUAGUACAUUCUACUUCUUCCGGAGCGAAACAUACUCAAACGGACGAAUUUUGGAGUGAUUCAAAUUGGAAGACAUUUGUGUGUCGCUUCAUGUGUUUAUGUCAAAAUUUCAACAAUUUCUACCAAGCAAUUAUCUUCAGGUGAUGGAAUAAAAAAAAUCAUGUGCAGUGCUGGAAAAUAAUAUUUUUGGGCUUAAAUGCAAUUUUUUGAGCCCAAGAUGAUUUCAAAUGGGUUCAUGGCAUUAUGGAGAAGUGUUUAGAAUAGUCCAAGAUGUAAAUCUAGCAUUUUGGGCCAGUUUUGGAGUUGAUAUGGGUCCAAAACGUGGCUAUCAAGGAUUUGGGCAAAUUUCCAAGUUAAUUUAGGAUUAUGUUUCCUAAUUUAUUUCAAUUUAUUUGGUUUCCUAGCCUUAUUCUAAGACCUUUUACUAGGAGGAUUUAAAUAGAGUAGUAUAAAUUAACCUGUUUGGCUAGCCCUAGGGUUUUUCUUCUUUAUGCAAUUUUUGGAGAGAAGAUUUUGGGCAAAGCUUAGAGAAUUCAAGACUUAUACUUUCAAGGUGUUUUCAUUAUUUUUCUAUUUCAAUAAAGACUUCAUGAUUUUUAUUAUGAAUAUGCGUAACUAAUUCUCUUUGGUAGGGUGAUGCUAUGAUCCUUAGCAAGAAUAUAUAGUCUCUUUUUAAGUUGCUUAUGAAUUUAUGCAUGCAAGUUUGAAUUGUUAAUCACCGGUUUCAACUAUCUAUUUGUCUUAGUGAUUUGCGACCAUUAGGAUAUUUAGAAAAGUAAUUUGAUGCAAUUUUGGCAGAGGGUUGUCCCAAAAAUUGACUAAGGCUUCUUGUGAUUAAUAUGUGUAGCUUUUUAGGAUGGACGACACGUCUUAAGGAUUAUAUAGUUCAAAAGGAAAACUAAUGAAAAGAGCUUGAAAACUUUGAAUUUUAAAGAUAAGGACAAAAUAAAGGGUAAAGUGAAUAGUAUCAUGAUUGACUUUUUAGUGUAAAAAUAUGGUUUUUCGUUCAAGUGAACAGGACCGGGAGUUUUUCGUUAAAGUUCCCUUUUUCAAAAGGUUUUCACAAAACUUAAUGAGUCUUGCAUGUUCACAUUUGAUCUGGACAUCACGAACGGGUUGGAUGUUAGAUAUACGUUCUAUGUUGGAGGUUCAAAGUAGGAUAUACUCUAGGAAAACCUAACUUCAAAAUAUGCAUGUGUAAUGCAUAAGUAAUUAGAAGAACUACAAAGGGUUGUUAGGGUGACGGCGAAACCCUAGUACUUUCUCACUUUGAAUUCUAAAAAUUGUUUCCUUUUUCCUACUUUAAAAAUGCAGAUCUUAGUUAACCUUUUUAAUUAAAUUCGUUUUUUCUUAAUUUAGGUCAUUAAUUCAUCCUUUUCAAAAACUUUGCUCUAAUUAUUUAGUUGAGAAUUGAUUUCACGUUAAUCUAUUUAAAGUAAUUCCUGUGUAAAACGACCUUACUUGAGCCAACUAUACUACAACCUUGUUUCUCUUGCAAGUAUUUUAGGUGUUUUUAACCCUUUUUUGCACAG